UACGUAGGGUCCGAGCGUUGUCCGGAAUUAUUGGGCGUAAAGGGCUCGUAGGCGGUCUGUUGCGUCGGGAGUGAAAACUUACAGCUUAACUGUGAGCGUGCUUUCGAUACGGGCAGACUUGAGGCAUUCAGGGGAGAACGGAAUUCCUGGUGUAGCGGUGAAAUGCGCAGAUAUCAGGAGGAACACCGGUGGCGAAGGCGGCAUCCUGGACCGGUAUUGACGCUGAGGCGCGAAAGCCAGGGGAGCAAACGGG
rnacentral:rRNA from 1 species